AUGGUUGUAAUUUAAAGGUAAAAUGUCGAACUGUGGAUUCGAAGACUAUAGGUUCGAAUCCUAUCAAUCAUC
rnacentral:tRNA from 1 species